GCGCUAAUCAACACACAAUAUAUGCAGAAUGGGCAGCAACCCAAGCGAAGGAAACCCCUCAAGUCCUUCAAUGGAUCAAAAACAACACAAAAAAGAUGGAGUAGGGCUGCGCAAAUACGAAUAAAAUGGUCUUAGAAAGGGUAGGAGGUCUCGCUAGAGUAGCAGUAGAUAAUCAGGGAAACUUUAUAAGACGUAUUCUCUUCAAUGGGAGUGGAUACGUCUCAGGGUGUUAGUUCAUAUAUAUGAAACAGAGAAGAGGCAGAAAGCAACCAAUAGUGCAGUAAGUAUCAAGAGGUAGAGAACUCACAUUUAAAAGAGCUAUGGCCAGCUCUGGUGUGAAGAGCAUACAGCGGUAUAAUCCCUGUUUAUGGGAUGUGGGAAGAUGUAUCUGUCAGCACCAUCUGGUAAUCCAAAGGGAAGAUAAAAGGCAACAAUAGUGCUCUCAAUUGUGAUAAAAUAGAGUAUAAAAGAGUGAUCAGAGUAAUACUCACAAGUGUAGAGCAGAAACACUGCUCUAUUGAUAUAGCGGUGGUAUAAUCCCUACCUCGGAUUUCUUUUGAUUAGUAGUAAAAAGCCAAGUAGCAAAGGAAAUAUAUUAUCAAAUAUAUUUUAAAAUGGUAAAUAAAAUUUAAAGGAAAUUGGCACAAACCAGGUCUAUUUGUCCAAAAGAAUU